rnacentral:rRNA from 1 species
GACGAACGCUGGCGGCGCGCCUAACACAUGCAAGUCGAACGAGCGAGAGAGAGUUUACUUUUUCGAGCGAGUGGCGAACGGGUGAGUAACGCGUGAGGAACCUGCCUCAAAGAGGGGGACAACAGUUGGAAACGACUGCUAAUACCGCAUAAGCCCACGGCUCGGCAUCGAGCAGAGGGAAAAGGAGCAAUCCGCUUUGAGAUGGCCUCGCGUCCGAUUAGCUGGUUGGUGAGGUAACGGCCCACCAAGGCGACGAUCGGUAGCCGGACUGAGAGGUUGAACGGCCACAUUGGGACUGAGACACGGCCCAGACUCCUACGGGAGGCAGCAGUGGGGAAUAUUGCACAAUGGGGGAAACCCUGAUGCAGCGACGCCGCGUGGAGGAAGAAGGUCUUCGGAUUGUAAACUCCUGUUGUUGAGGAACGAUAAUGACGGUACUCAACAAGGAAGUGACGGCUAACUACGUG